rnacentral:rRNA from 1 species
UACGUAGGGUGCAAGCGUUAAUCGGAAUUACUGGGCGUAAAGCGUGCGCAGGCGGUUAUGUAAGACAGUUGUGAAAUCCCCGGGCUCAACCUGGGAACUGCAUCUGUGACUACAUAGCUAGAGUACGGUAGAGGGGGAUGGAAUUCCGCGUGUAGCAGUGAAAUGCGUAGAUAUGCGGAGGAACACCGAUGGCGAAGGCAAUCCCCUGGACCUGUACUGACGCUCAUGCACGAAAGCGUGGGGAGCAAACAGG